CCCAGCAACCAAGCAGAGGGAGUAGUGGGGCAAAGCCCCUGCUCACUUCUCAUGCUGUGAUCUCUAGUAUGAGAAGCAGGACAGGAGCAGCAGGCAGGUGUUCCUCCCCCCAGUCUUCAGGAUGUGUGAAAGCAGCUGCCCACUUCACUGUCUUCAGACCAGGGCGAGCCCAGUCACUGGAAGGCAUGGGAGUCUUUCUCCCAACUCCAAUCCUCCUGGUCCCUAGGCAGAAUUAAGGUAGGGAAAAGCAUGCAGAGACUUAGUCUCCUAGAGAAACUCUCCUGGGAACAAUUUCUACAUGGUUGUUUUCAGAUUACUUUUCUCUUGGAGAUGCUGUUUUUGCUCCAGGAGAAAAAAAAAGCAGGGGGAAAAAAAGCUUGAAUGUCUGCACACUUCUGAUUUCUAUUGAAAGAACUGCUAUUCUCCCAGUAGAUACUGAAUGUAUAUGGCCCUAGUUUACUAGACACAAGAAAGUAGUAAUGCAAAACACUGAGAGAACUCCAUUUAAAAGAUUAUGUGAGGUCCUUUGCCACUGAUGUAAAAAAAGAAAAAUUGAGUUAAGCUAUAACAACUUUAAAGAAGGGCCACUAAGAUGGUUGAGGGACUGGAGACCUUUUUUUUUAAUGAAAAUUGAUUAGAAACACUUGGCUUAUUUAGUACAUGAAUGGGGCAAAUAGGAAGGUGAAGAGAUGUUUUAGGAUCAGAAACAACAUUAGUACAAUAUCAAAUGGCUGGAAAUAAGAUAUAGAAAACUUAAGAAAUGGGAAGAAGGAAAUUUUGGAACAAUCUCCAAACCAAGUGAUGGGAACAUGAAGCCUGAGUCUGUCUAAGAACUAAAUAAGGCAAUUUGUAGAAGUUAUAAUAAGACAGGGAGUUCUGAAACAGUCCCAUGUCCUAAGGCUUUUGUAGGAACCAGAAAAGAGCCCCACACCCCCUUCCUGAGUACUGCUGGCUUCUGGGUUGUUUUCCACCUUCUGAAGCAUUGGGAUGUUGGUGUAUAGAGGCCAGGUCAGACCCCUGGGCCCAGCUAAUAGCAAUCAAGAGAUCAAGGCAAGUCAUCCUGGAACAAGCACCACCUGCAGCAAGCCCUGAGCACCAUCCUGGUCCCAGCUGGGUUGAGCAAGCAAUCAGGGCAGCUGAAGCCAGAGGCAGCAGGUCCCACACACUCUUGUCCUUAACAGUCAGGCCCACCCUGCAGUUUCCUUAGCCAAGGGAAGUAAAAGGCCUCACUCCUGACCUUCCAUGUGUUUCCUUGCUGAUCUUCUGGUUUUGACCUCAGCUUCUGACUCUGGCUCCCAGCUUCCCUUCACUCAGGGCUGCCUCCUGAGUCUUUUCCAUAGCUUGGGUUUCCAUCCUCAUGCCUCUGAAAGAAGGGUUCCAUCCCUAACAGCUUCCACAGUCAGACUGUCCCUCUGGUUUGAGGCAUCGGCUUGUCUGGAUCAUAUGACUCCUCUACUUCCUCCCUUGGCCAUCAGGUGAGGGGGGAAUCGGCUUGCACUGGGCAAACAGCAACCCUGAAAUGAAACUGACUGAAGGAGUAGACAGACGAUAGAUGUAUACAUCUUCACCCUGCAGUGACUUACACUGAUGUAAGCUGUGCAAUGUGUGCCUGCUCCACUUUCCUUUUUGAAAGUCAUACUGAUUAUUUAUAGUUGAAGAAGAAAAAGAAAAGCUCUUUGUAAUGGUCUCUUUCAUAAUCCUGAAAUAGGUAAUCUGCUUAUUGAGGGAGGUGGGUUCUACCCCAUAUAUCUUCAUGUGCCAUUCAUUUGAAAGGGUGUUCUAAUAAAGGUCCUGCCACGCCUGUAACCUGAUUAAAGCACCCAUUAAUAACAUGAUUAGCUGCCAUCAACAUUACAGAUUUUACCAGAGUUAUAAUUGGGUCAGGGAGAAACUGUGCUGGAACUGAUUCUCCUGGUUCAGUUGUUUUUUAGUAUUAAUGGCCCUUUGGCUACAAGUUCUAAAGAUGCACAUAGACUCUUUGGUUAAAUAAAAUGGUUGUUACUACAUUUGAAAGUGAGAUUUUUAUGUUUAUAGUUUUGUCUGUUAAAUAUGUACCAGUCCAUUUUAGCAGACAUUUAAGACUAGAGGGAACAGGACUGCAGAAUACAUUGUAGAGAACAAUCUUUCACUGUUAAGGGACUGUAUAAAAUUACCUGGAAAGUCUUUUUCCCUCCUGCAAGUCUCUGAUAAAAAUUUAGAGCUGGCAUGAGUAAAGCAAGAACCACAAUAUCUGGUAUUAUGUAGCAAGAAGUGCACUACCUUGGAAGCAGAACUGAAAGAUUGAGGUCAACGUGACUGAAAUGAUUAGAUGAUUAAGUUGGACUGAAUUUAAAUGCUGGAGGCCUUUUUAAUUAUUUUUCAUGCUACAUUAAUGGAGGAUUAAAUGUUGGCUCUGGUACUUGUCCUGUAAAUUAUAAGUUGCUCUCAGUAAACCCACACUAGCUUUUUCUUUGAGUGUGCACAAUAUUUAUGAAAGUGAAGAGAAUGGUAGUAACUGCUUGGUGACAUAUUCCUUGAUGAAAAUGCUCUGAUGUUUUCCCAUAUGACAUCAUUGCUAGGGGAGGGUGACAUGGUUUGAAUUAAAAAUUUUGAAUGCCAGAAAGAAACCUAAACUUGAAAUUUCCAAAUGACUGCUUUGGAUAAACUAGGUCAAAUAUUUCUCACUCAUACUGUGCCACCCACAGCCAAGGAAAACUGGAGUGCAAAAAAAGGCACUUUUCAUACUAUCUUUAGUGUUUCAGAGUAAGAACAAUUCAAGCUAAGAGGCCAUCAAAAUUCCUAUAGGUAGUGUGUUAAGUAUGCCACAUAAUUCUCCCAUAGCAAAAUAUUAUUUAUCUUCACAUCAAGGGAACUGAUUUUGUUUUUUGGUUUUUUUGUUUUUUUUUUAAUGCUCAUCUAUACUUAUUUUGUGCCUUCUAUAGCUUUGGUUAAUUCAUUAAAUUUAUUGGCUUCAUAAAACUGAAAGCAAGUCUAUGUUAAAGAAUAAGGAUCACAUUAAAAACAUAUGCACUAUAUUAUAAAGUAUAGUGUAAGCCCAGAUGUGGCAGCUUUGGUAGAUCACUGUUGACUGAACCUUGAAUAUUUCCACUAAUUGGGAAUGAUCCUAAUUUGGCUUCAUGAAGGAAGGCAAACAAACAUACAAACACCCUUCAGUUGCCUUGAGAGCAGAGGGCUUCUUAAAAUUGACAGGAAGGAAGAGGGAUGAAAAAGCAAGAAUACAACAAAGUAUUUCAGAUUCUCUACCAAUGUUAAACUCUUUGUUCAACUACAACAGCAUGCAGCUGACUGAAAAUGUGACUGUUUAAAUCAUUGGCUGGUUGAGGUUGCAUGUGUGGUAAACCUAACCUCCCUCCUUUUCCUCUCCCUCAACUCCUUUCACAUGCAUUAUGAUGGCCUAUUAGAUACUCAGAUUUGGGAAUGCUGGCAAAGUGUCUGCUUUUUUUUUUUUUUUUUUUUUUGCCACUAAAGUUUUGAAUGUUUCCACUAAACAAAAUAUAUAUUCGAUUACUCUCAAUAGUUGCAACAUAUAUUUUAAACAUACUUGAAUAUAUUAUGUUUUAUGUGGGUUUAUUUUAGAUCUUUAGCAAUACUAAAUGAAUUGCCCUUCCAUAAUAGAUUGGCUAAGCAUGCAAGUAGUAUCUAAAUCAAAACUCAUGGCUACACAGUUUAUAAACUUCUUCCUUUUAUAAUUUACACAGACAUAUUCACUUAACAUGAACUAUCAACAUUAUGUAUGAAUAUGAUUUUGACACAAAUAAGGGGAGGGGGAAUAUUGAAACCACUGAUCUUUUAAAUGUGAGAAUAAGAAAUUAUAAGAAAAUAAAUGCUUUAUGUCUGCAGGGUAAAACUAUAUCUUAUGCUUUAUCAAAACCCCACUUUCUAUAUAUCAGUGCUGUAUUUCUCUUUACAUGUUUUAUUACUCUAAUUCUAGAUGUAUCUUUUUACUUACCUCUUUCCUAUUCAGUUUAAUUAGUUGCUGCAAUAUUUAUGGUGCAGCGUUAUCAAUUCAAUGCUACUAAUUGCAUAAUCUAUAAAAUAUGACAUGUUUUCGAAGCAGUAAAAUUAAGUGAGGUAAAAUGAAUACAUUUGCAUGCAAGUGUGUGAGAGUGAUCCUGAGACACUGUCAGAUGUGUAUCUCAACUGUUUCACAACUGCUACUACAUACUUUCAAAUAAAUUGAUUUGUUUUUCCUUA